rnacentral:rRNA from 1 species
ACGGAAGGCAGCAGUGGGGAAUAUUGGGCAAUGGGCGCAAGCCUGACCCAGCAAUGCCGCGUGAAGGAAGAAGGCUUUCGGGUUGUAAACUUCUUUUAUAGGGGACGAUAAUGACGGUACCCUAUGAAUAAGCCACGGCUAACUACGUGCCAGCAGCCGCGGUAAUACGUAGGUGGCAGGCGUUAUCCGGAUUUACUGGGUGUAAAGGGUGUGUAGGCGGGGUUGCAAGUCAGAUGUGAAAACUAUGGGCUUAACUCAUAGCCUGCAUUUGAAACUGUAGUUCUUGAGGGUCGGAGAGGUAACUGGAAUUCCUGGUGUAGCGGUGAAAUGCGUAGAUAUCAGGAGGAACACCGGUGGCGAAGGCGGGUUACUGGACGAUUACUGACGCUGAGACACGAAAGCGUGGGGAGCAAACAGGAUUAGAUACCCUGGUA